GACGAACGCUGGCGGCGUGCCUAAUACAUGCAAGUUGAGCGAUGAAGAUUGGUGCUUGCACCAAUUUGAAGAGCAGCGAACGGGUGAGUAACGCGUGGGGAAUCUGCCUUUGAGCGGGGGACAACAUUUGGAAACGAAUGCUAAUACCGCAUGACAACUUUAAACAUAAGUUUUAAGUUUGAAAGAUGCAAUUGCAUCACUCAAAGAUGAUCCCGCGUUGUAUUAGCUAGUUGGUGAGGUAAAGGCUCACCAAGGCGAUGAUACAUAGCCGACCUGAGAGGGUGAUCGGCCACAUUGGGACUGAGACACGGCCCAAACUCCUACGGGAGGCAGCAGUAGGGAAUCUUCGGCAAUGGACGAAAGUCUGACCGAGCAACGCCGCGUGAGUGAAGAAGGUUUUCGGAUCGUAAAACUCUGUUGGUAGAGAAGAACGUUGGUGAGAGUGGAAAGCUCAUCAAGUGACGGUAACUACCCAGAAAGGGACGGCUAACUACGUG
rnacentral:rRNA from 1 species